UACGAAGGGGGCUAGCGUUGUUCGGAUUUACUGGGCGUAAAGCGCACGUAGGCGGUUCGUUAAGUCAGGGGUGAAAUCCUGGAGCUCAACUCCAGAACUGCCUUUGAUACUGGCGAUCUUGAGUCCGGAAGAGGUGAGUGGAACUCCUAGUGUAGAGGUGGAAUUCGUAGAUAUUGGGAAGAACACCGGUGGCGAAGGCGGCGACCUGGUCCGAUACUGACGCUGAGGCGCGAAAGCGUGGGGAGCAAACAGG
rnacentral:rRNA from 1 species